rnacentral:misc_RNA from 1 species
GACUACUGGCAGGAUCAACCAGGUAGCAUCCUUCGACGUUGCCAAGACACGCAUGGCACCUCCAAGCAGAAUGACCUGCGAUGGAGGGCCAAUGCGCGAGAGGCAAUCGUCCAUGAUGAGCGAAUUAACGCAUUUAUCUUUUCGCGACACGGGCAAUAAGCCCCACUCACGUACUGAGCAUUCGGCAUCCAAAAGCACAAAGGCAAACCUUAGACCACUACGGUCGGAGUCCAUGCUUAACAAAGACCCUACCGGUGGGCAAGGAGCACCGCUUCCAUGUUCGCACCGCAGCCAAAUGGCUGUUGGGCGAAGCACAUACUCUUUUUGGCAACAAAAAUUCCAUUCAUUCGGGAAGGCAACAGAAGAAACGGGACGAUGACUUAGGCAGCAACUCAAGGCAACAAGAACGACGUGGGUUUGCGCGGCCGGUUCGAUGCACAAGCAAGGAGCCCGACUUCCAACAUACACCCAUAGCAGCUCACGUUC